rnacentral:rRNA from 1 species
AUUGAACGCUGGCGGCAGGCCUAACACAUGCAAGUCGAGCGAGCGGCGGACGGGGGAGUAAAGUAUGGGGAACUGUCCGUUAGAGGGGGAUAACACUAGGAAACGCUAUCGAAUACCGCACAUUAUCGGCUGAACCCAUAUGGGAUUGGCUAGUUGGUGUGGUAAUGGCUCACCAAGGCGACGAUCCCUAGCUGGUCUGAGAGGAUGACCAGCCACACUGGGACUGAGACACGGCCCAGACUCCUCCGGGAGGCAGCAGUGGGGAAUAUUGCACAAUGGGGGCAAGCCUGAUGCAGCCAUGCCGCGUGUAUGAAGAAGGCCCUAGGGUUGUAAAGUACUUUCAGUGGGGAGGCGUUACCGACAGAAGAAGCACCGGCUAACUCCGUGCCAGCAGCCGCGGUAAUUC